GUUAGGAAUUCCAAAGUUCGUCCUCUUUAUUCUUCUCUUCUCAAAACCAUCCAUUGCCAUCCAUUUGCAUAUUCAGAGAAGACAGAAAGAACCAGAGAAGACAGAGAGAGCAGUGCCGUUUCUAAAUCACAACCUUCAUCGAGUCGAUCCUUUUCUUGAUGGAAGGAGGAAUUUGUUCACUCCGGCAUCAUAGUUGUCGCACCAACUGUCACAGGGUUCGGAUAUUGCGGCAGAGCAUCACUGCAUCAGAUGCCCUAGCAGGCGAUUUGAUCAGAUUGCUCUUCAUGUUGGGAGAUAUAUUGUGACCAUGAUGAGCACUGGAGUGAUCUUGUUGAUUGGAUUCAGUCUGUCAAGUUGACUGAAGGUGGAGAUGGUCAAACAAAUGAUUUGGUAUACUUGGGUUGGUGGUAUUAUCAUUGGAAUCAUGAUUGGUUCAAACAUGGUUUUAGACGAAGUGAGCCGAGCCGAUCCUUGAAAUGUUGUAAUUCCCGGAAG
rnacentral:lncRNA from 1 species